CCUACGGGUGGCAGCAGUGGGGAAUAUUGCACAAUGGGCGAAAGCCUGAUGCAGCAACGCCGCGUGAAGGAAGAAGGGUUUCGGCUCGUAAACUUCUAUCAACAGGGACGAAAGAAAUGACGGUACCUGAAUAAGAAGCCCCGGCUAACUACGUGCCAGCAGCCGCGGUAAUACGUAGGGGGCAAGCGUUAUCCGGAAUUACUGGGUGUAAAGGGUGAGUAGGCGGCAUGGUAAGCCAGAUGUGAAAGCCUUGGGCUUAACCCGAGGAUUGCAUUUGGAACUAUCAAGCUAGAGUACAGGAGAGGAAAGCGGAAUUCCUAGUGUAGCGGUGAAAUGCAGAGAUAUCACGAGGAACCCCGAUUGCGAAGGCAGCCUGCCGGGGUGCGACUGACGCUGAGGCUCGAAGGUGCGGGUAUCAAACAGGAUUAGAUACCCUUGUAGUC
rnacentral:rRNA from 1 species